UACGUAGGGGGCUAGCGUUGUCCGGAUUUAUUGGGCGUAAAGAGCGCGCAGGCGGUCGUUCAAGUCGAGUGUGAAAGCCCCCGGCUCAACUGGGGAGGGUCAUUCGAUACUGAUCGACUCGAAGGCAGGAGAGGGAAGCGGAAUUCCCGGUGUAGUGGUGAAAUGCGUAGAUAUCGGGAGGAACACCAGUGGCGAAGGCGGCUUCCUGGCCUGUUCUUGACGCUGAGGCGCGAAAGCGUGGGGAGCAAACAGG
rnacentral:rRNA from 1 species